rnacentral:rRNA from 1 species
ACCUUCGGGUUGAGUGGGGACGGGUGAGUAACGCGUGAGAAUCUGCUUGGGGUCGGGGACACCACUGGAAACGGUGGCUAAUACCGGAUAAGCCUUUGGGUAAAAAAUUUAUUGCCCCAAGAGGAGCUCGCGUCUGAUUAGCUAGUUGGUGAGGUAAGAGCUCACCAAGGCAGCGAUCAGUAGCUGGCCUGAGAGGACGAUCAGCCACACUGGGACUGAGACACGGCCCAGACUCCUACGGGAGGCAGCAGUGGGGAAUUUUCCGCAAUGGGCGAAAGCCUGACGGAGCAAGACCGCGUGAGGGAGGAAGGCUCUUGGGUUGUAAACCUCUUUUCUCAGGGAAGAAGCUCUGACGGUACCUGAGGAAUCAGCCUCGGCUAACUCCGUGCCAGCAGCCGCGGUAAUACGGAGGAGGCAAGCGUUAUCCGGAAUUAUUGGGCGUAAAGCGUCCGCAGGUGGCGAUUCAAGUCUGCUGUCAAAGCACGGGGCUUAACUCCGUUAAGGCAGUGGAAACUGAAUAGCUAGAGUGCCGUAGGGGUAGAGGGAAUUCCCGGUGUAGCGGUGAAAUGCGUAGAGAUCGGGAAGAACAUCGGUGGCGAAAGCGCUCUACUGGACGGCAACUGACACUCAGGGACGAAAGCUAGGGGAGCGAAUGGGAUUAGAUACCCCAGUAGUCCUAGCUGUAAACGAUGGAUACUAGGUGUAGCUUGUAUCGACCCGAGCUGUGCCGAAGCUAACGCGUUAAGUAUCCCGCCUGGGGAGUACGCACGCAAGUUGUGAAACUCAAAGGAAUUGACGGGGGCCCGCACAAGCGGUGGAGUAUGUGGUUAACUUCGAUGCCACGCGAAGAACCUUACCAGGGCUUGACAUGUCCGG